GAGAGGUCGGGGUGGGCGAGAUCUGAAAGCAGCCGGCGGCUGGGAAAUGGCGGAGCCUUCUGCUUAAGGGGAAGUCAACCUGGAUCCUACAUUACUCAUCUCCUGGAACCCAGUCUCCCUUGGAAGUUCCCUAUGCAUCCUUCGCUUGACCACAUGGAUGGAGAAGAUGAUCUGUCAGUGCUGACCGCGCUGCUGGAGGAGAA